CUCCAAUUUAGGUGAUUCUUGAACUGAUGGAAACCUAAAACUAUGAUACCUCUUACCCGUCUACAGUGUAGCCGAAUAAGAUAUGCCACAUAGUGUACCGGAAUACUAUAUUUUAUCUCAAUUAUUUUUAUCUUUCCUUAAUUUAUUUCUUUAUAGUGAUGAAAUGCAAUUUGUGAGAUUUGACUCAUUUAAGUCAUUUAUAGAAAUUAUAAAUUUAUUUGAGAUUUCGAAAAUUUCAUAGAAAAUCUGGCAGAGUACCGGCUAAAAAUGGA
rnacentral:misc_RNA from 1 species